rnacentral:rRNA from 1 species
CUUGCCCGCCAUGUUCUUGGUGCCAUGCCUCUUCACAUUCUGAUGGUGAUGGCUAUGACUCCACCCAUCCUGAAGCAGCUCAACCGUCUAGUCUGUUCGUUUCUUUGGCGUGGGCAGAAGGAGGCCAAUGGCGGCCACUGCCUUGUGAAUUGGGCUACAUUUUGCCGUCCAAUCUCUCUUGGCGGACUUGGCAUCUCGAACUUCCAGCGCGCCGGCAUCGCCUUGCGGACUAGGUGGUUGUGGCUCCAAUCCACCGACCCCUCGUGCCGUGGCACCACUUGCAUAUGCCCAGCUGCCCCAAAGUUCAGGCUAUUUUCAGAGCCUCCACGUCCUAGACGCUUGGUGAUGGCCGCACCUGUAAAUUUUGGGUUGAUCAUUUGCUAG